rnacentral:rRNA from 1 species
AACCCAUGCAUGUUUUUGACAUUUGAAAAAUGGACUGCUCAGUAAUACUCACUUUAUUUUAUGUAAAUUUUUAAUUAACUACGUUAAAGUGUAGAUAAGAUGUUUACAGUAAGAGUGAGACCUAUCAGCUAGUUGUUAAGGUAAUGGCUUAACAAGGCUGUGACGGGUAACGGUAUUACUUUGUAAUAUUCCGGAGAAGGAGCCUGAGAGACGGCUACUAAGUCUAAGGAUUGCAGCAGGGGCGAAACUUGACCUAUGGAUUUUAUCUGAGGCAGUUAUGGGAAGUAAUAUUAUAUUGUUUCAUAUUUUAAAAGUAUAUGAGGUGAUUAAUUGGAGGGCAAAUCAAGUGCCAGCAGCCGCGGUAAUACUUGUUCCAAGAGUGUGUAUGAUGAUUGAUGCAGUUAAAAAGUCCGUAGUUUAUUUUUUUA